rnacentral:rRNA from 1 species
CAGUCGCCGCGGGAAUACGAAGGGGGCUAGCGUUGUUCGGAAUUACUGGGCGUAAAGCGCACGUAGGCGGAUAUUUAAGUCAGGGGUGAAAUCCCAGAGCUCAACUCUGGAACUGCCUUUGAUACUGGGUAUCUUGAGUAUGGAAGAGGUGAGUGGAAUUCCGAGUGUAGAGGUGAAAUUCGUAGAUAUUCGGAGGAACACCAGUGGCGGAGGCGGCUCACUGGUCCAUUACUGACGCUGAGGUGCGAAAGCGUGGGGAGCAAACAGGAUUAGAUACCCCAGUAGUCCCUGUCUCUUAUAU